AUACGGAGGAUGCGAGCGUUAUCCGGAUUUAUUAGGUUUAAAGGGUGUGUAGGCGGUAUUUUAAGUCAGUGGCGAAAUCUCGGAGCUUAACUUCGAAACUGCCAUUGAUACUGGAAUACUCGAGUAUAGUUGAGGUAGGCGGAAUAUGUAAUGUAGCGGUGAAAUGCAUAGAUAUUACAUAGAACACCGAUUGCGAAGGCAGCUUACUAAACUAUUACUGACGCUGAUGCACGAAAGCGUGGGGAGCGAACAGGAUUAGAUACCCUAGUAGUCC
rnacentral:rRNA from 1 species